UGAUGAAUGAUGCUAUUUUCUGUAGUGGGUUGCAGGGGAAUUUGUUGAUGGGAACAUUGUCUCCUGAUAUGUGCCAAUUGACUGGCCUAUGGUACUUUGAUGUGAGGGGCAAUAACCUCUCAGGAACCAUACUAGAUAACAUUGAGAAUUGUACAAGCUACGAAAUCUUCGAUAUUUCUUACAAUCAAAUCACUGGAGAGAUUCCUUACAACAUUGGUUUCCUGCAAGUAGCUAUAUUGUCUCUUUAGGGAAAUAGGCUUACUGGGAAGAUUCCAGAAGUGAUAGGACUCAUGCAAGCUCUUGCUGUUUUAUAUCAUUAUGAAUGGAUUUCAUGUUUACACUACAAGAAACCUAUGUAUCAGUGGCGCACUAUCACAGGCGGCCACAACAAACCGCCAGUGUACAUGUAAAAUCAGUGGCGUUUGGUGUGUAGUACCCACUUGUUGGAAGCUGACUUCAUGGACAGAGAGUCUAAGCAAUGUCAUAAAAAAUGUCGCUUGUGCAACAGUUUAAUUGAAGUGGUAAAAUUCUCCACAAACUUCUUUUCAUCAUUCUUGGUUCUUUUUGUUAUGCAAUUUCUUUUGUCAAGCCAAAGAUUCUUAGGCCUCAAGCUUACCUCCAUUCUCUUGUUGUUGAAGAAAUCCUUGUAAGGACUUACUCUCACUCUAGGUUUUAGUUCAUUUUCCUUUAUAGCUACGAUGACCCAUGUGACAAAAGAACGCAAGCUUUGUUGUCCUUUGGGUUCUGAUUUUUUAAAAGAAUAGGUAAUCUUCAGACAGUUUGCUAGUUCUUGAGAUGAUUAUGCAUGAUUUUAAUGUUUCAUUAGCUAAUUAUUUGUUAGUUUAGAUUACUACUAAUUU